AGAAUGUAGUAAUACAAAAAUAAGGCGGGAGGUGCCUAGUUAUGUAAAUUCGAUUCACACGUAUAAAUUAAUUAUAAAUUUGUUUACCUUUCUUCUUCAGGCGGCAAAUUGAUCUGUUGAAUUUAAUAUAGGUGAUCGUAGUAAAUAAAAAGAUUUUUAAUAUAACAACUGUUUCUUUUUUAUUAAUUUUUUUUAAAAAUAUAAAACACUGUUCUAGGUUCCCGU